GACUAUGAGGGCAACCUGGCUGUGACAUCUGUCACUCCAUUAAUCUCCAGGGUUAAUUCAGCUGGCUAAUUUAGCCGAGUAAACUGGUUGGCUAGGCAGUUGUUCCCUUCUUCCCUCACUGCCCCAUGUGUGUCCCUCCCAAAGCUGCAUGCUUGGUGGAAGAGAACAACAUUCCCUGAUACAGUAGAACUUUUUUUGGUCAAGAGUAUAUUUGUAGCUAUAGUCCCCAGCUAGAACAUCCUCUAAGCAAGCUCUUAAGGUCCAUUUGUAGGAGAACAUAGGGUACUCAAACCCAUGACUCCAGAGACAUCCAAGAGAAGUGGAUGUGGACAGUCUGCACUA
rnacentral:lncRNA from 1 species